ensembl:lncRNA
AUCAGGAAGACCAGGGGGUAGGCGGGGCGGGGAAGAGGUGGGAAGAGCUCGCAGCACCGCCGGGCGCCCGUCGGGCUCUUGGGGAGAGAGAGAGAGAGAAAUCCGGUUAAAAUCUGGAGUCGGAGGGAGGUUUAACCACAGAUCGGUUCCGAUCGGAUUAUUCCUUAAAGGGGACGCGCCAUUGUCAAGAGAACGAAGUCUGGGGCCCGAGGGCGGGGACCGGCGGCGCCUGAGGAGCGAGGCAGCUGCACUUGGACUGGGGACGGAGUACAUCAUGUGAAAUGCCGGGCUGGAUGAAGCACAAGCUGGAAUCAAGAUUGCUGGGAGAAAUAUUAAUAACCUCAGAUAUACAGCUGACACCACCCUUAUGGCAGAAAGUGAAGAAGAACUAAAGAGCCUCUUGAUGAAGGUGAAAGAGGAGAGUGAAAAAGCUGACUUAAAACUCAGCAUUCAAAAAAUGAAGAUCGUGGCAUCUGGUCCCAUCACUUCAUGGCAAAUAGAUGGGGAAACAACAGAAACAGUGACAGACUAUUUUCUUGGGUUCCAAAAUCACUGCGGAUGGUGACUGCAGCCAUGAAAUUAAAAGAUGCUUACUCCUUGGAAGAAAAGCUAUGAUAAAUCUAGACAGCAUAUUAAAAAGCGGAGACGUUACUUUGCUGACAAAGGUCCAUAUAGUCAAAGCUGUGGUUUUACCAUUUGUCAUAUAUGGAUGUGAGAGUUGGACCAUGAAGAAGGCUGAGCACUGAAGAAGUGAUGCUUUCCAACUGUGGUGUUGGAGAAGACUCUUGAGAGUCCCUUGGACUGCAAGGAGAUCAAACCAGUCAAACCUAAAAGAAAUCAACCCUGAAUAUUCAUUGGAAGGACUGAUGCUGAAGCUGAAGCUCCAAUACUUUGACCACCUGAUGCGAAGAACUGACUUAAUGGAAAAGACCCUGAUGCUGGGAAAGAUAGAAGGCCGGAGGAGAAGGGGACGACAGAAGACGAGAUGGUUGUAUGGUAUCACUGACUUGAUGGACAUGAAUUUGAGUAACCUCUUGGAGAUGGUGAAGGACAGGGAAGCCUGGCGUGCUGCAGUCCGUGGGGUUGCAAAGAGUCAGACAUGACUGAGCAACUGAACAACAAAUGUGUGUCUCAACGUCACAAACAGAAGCCUUUCUGGAUAUUUAAGCUGAAGAGAUUUCAUACAAUGUAUUAGGUGCUUGCAGAAUUGUUAAAGUACCUAACAGCAGGUUUUAGGGGAUCAGUCCAGAGGUAACUCACCAGGGCGGCUCAGAGGCCAUGCCAGGAACUGUGCUGGAAUCCAUACCUGGAGCCACCUCUUCCACAGCUGUAUUAAUAUUUGCCUCCGGACACUCUGGAAACUGCCGGACAGACCCCGAGCUGCAACCCAGAGUUAGGAGGUCAGACCCAAUACCUCUGCUGGUGGUGCUCCUGCUGUCCUGCUUCUCAUUACCCAAGAAGCUGGGGGAUGCUGGAAUGAUGCUGUGAAGCAAUCUCGUAUUUCUACAACUGUGCUUGCCUCCCAAACAACUAAGAAACUCCCUUUCUACUUGCCCAUAGGCAGGUGGGAGGUCGAGUGAGGCAGAUCUGUCAUAUCCAGCAUAGUAAAGGCCCUAAGCAGCGUGACGCAGGACCAGGAGAGGGUACUGUUGUCCAUCUCACACACUGAAUAUUAUUAAAUUUCAAAUUUAAGAUCACACAUGUAAUGUGUCUUCUGCAUGCAUGCUAAAUCGCUUCAUAAUUGUGUGACUCUUUGUGACCCCAUGGACCGUAGCCUGCCAGGCUCCUCUGUCCAUGGGAUUCUCCAGGAAAGAAUAUUGGAGUGGGUUGCCAUGCCCUUCUCCAGGGGAUAUCCCUGACCCAGGAAUUGAACCUGUUUCUCCUGCACUGCAGGCGGAUUCUUUACUCACUGAGCCAUCUGGGAAGGUGGCUCAUUAUAUCUUCUAGUAUUUUCUUUUUAUCUAACUGGCUUGAGAAUCUCUCUGAGG